AGCGUCGCAUCGUUUUUUAAUCUGAAUGCAUGCGUAUUAGAUAACAAUAUCUGCUCCAAUCACAAUGGAUAUUCAUUUGUAGUGGGACAAAUGAUGAAAUCUAAUAAGACGGGCUUUGUUGGACAGGAUGUACUUUUAUCAUGCCACUGUUCUAAUGAGACCAAGGAACUGAUAUGGCAGAAGGGUCAGAGAGUAGUGAAUGUUCAUCCGCAUGACAAAAGCAUCAUAGAUGAUUCCUACGUAGAUAGGACGCAACUCUUCCUAAACAAGGAGAAGAGAAACUGCUCCCUGCUGCUCCGCAACUUCUCUUCAGAAGAUGAAGGACUGUACACCUGUCAUGCCCUUGCCAGUGUUGGUGACAACCUCUGGUCAAAGAGGUCAUCAGAAGUUAAUCUAACAAUGUCUGAAAUGAAGAACGACUCUAAAACAAAUGGCCAAACUGGAGGCAGUUCUGUCACAGCUGUGUCUGUUAGUGUUCCCAUAUUGGUAGUAGUGCUUAUACUGGCAGCUAGCCUGCUUCUAACCCUACUGAUCAGAAGACGACAUCGGACAAACACGGUAAUCAGUCUUUUGUCACUAAAUGACACAAAACAUCAUAGCAAAAUAAAAAAUCUCCACAAACAUUAAAAUAUCUAAAAUACACUAGUCUAAGGGGUUGUUCACACUGGAUGCCCUUUUUUUUUUCAAAUUAAUUUUCUAUGUAAACAUAAACCAUUGCACUGCAUCUUACUGUUUAUUCAGUCACAUUUUUGAGACACCAUGUUAAGCUAAAAGCAGAUGAACUUAAAAUGUGCUUCAAGACCGUUGCACUCGAUCUUCUUUUAAUUGCAAGAAUAUUACCCUUAAUGACAACGUUUGAGUUUUGCCAUGGUGCACUAAAGAAAUAGAUUUUAUGACCUCUUUAUAUACAUUUCUCCUAUUAUUUUUUCCAUUUGAAUGAACCGUUUUAGUUGUAAAGUAAAACCUCUUUCUGAAGUAGCCAAAUUCCUUGAAUAGUCUUCACGGCAAAAGUAAACCUAUACACCAGUUGCAGUCACAUACUUUUAGAGCACAGCUUUAGCGCUUAAGGUCCUGUGUUUGACACGUUUAGUCAUAGUACAUGAAACAUUUCCAAAAAGCCUGACUGUGAUUUUUUUAUUCUUUUUUGCUAUAGGACACUGGUUUACUGGCUGAGAGACCUAUGCUAAGGAAUGUGUGAAGUUCUCUUGCUUGAUAGUUUUAUGGACUAACUUCUAUGUUGUAAUGCAAGGUCCUUCACAACAACAAUGGACAAUACAAGGCCUUAGCCCUAAACAAAUUCGUUUGCAUGUGGGCAUCACACAGUGGUGCGUGCCGAUCCGUCUCGCUUCGGGACAGAUCAAUGUGCAGUCUUCAGUUGUAACACUGUUUGAUUACCACUGAAUUGUGAAUACACUGUGAAUAUACAUUCUGUAGGCAUUACAGUUUUGUAACUUGACAAGAUUCUCCUUGUAGGAACUGUCUUUAUUCAUUCUUUGAAGAACAUGUAGUAGUAGGGGAUGUGCAGUUUAUAUUUUGCCUUUUCCUCUCUCUUUGAGACACAUUGGUGGUCUCAGUCCUAAACAGGCUUUUCAAAUCACCUUAUUUUAUUGUUCAUAUGUGUACAGCAAUCAUUUACUAUCACAUCAUGUAAGCUUCUUUACAUUUACUCUUGUAUGGGUUGAUUUCCUCAGCCUGUGCUGAUUUUCAUUUAUGUGGAAGAAAUAUGUGGCACUCCCUAUGGGAUAUGUUUGCUUUUUUACUGUACUAAAUUUCAUUUACUUUUAAAUGAAUUCUGUAAAGUGCUUCAAACCUGCAGAGGCA
ensembl:lncRNA